rnacentral:rRNA from 1 species
UUUAUGGAGAGUUUGAUCCUGGCUCAGGAUGAACGCUGGCGGCGUGCCUAAUACAUGCAAGUCGAGCGAACGGACGAGAAGCUUGCUUUUCUGAUGUUAGCGGCGGACGGGUGAGUAACACGUGGAUAACCUACCUAUAAGACUGGGAUAACUUCGGGAAACCGGAGCUAAUACCGGAUAAUAUUUUGAACCGCAUGGUUCAAAAGUGAAAGACGGUCUUGCUGUCACUUA